UACUAACCGGGGAGCCAGCGGUGCCCUGAACCUGAGAUCCGCUACAGCAGGGGUGAAUGGUAUUCUGAGGCCGUCUGCUGUGCCGCGAGCGACGGAACAGUCCGUUGAAGGAUGGGUCCCGCACAAUCGCCGUCCGUGAACCAUGUCAGGUGGGGAACCAAGCAGCAUUAAGCGGAGCCGACGAUGUGUUGCGGGGACACCUGUCCGGAGG
rnacentral:SRP_RNA from 2 species